UCCUCCCUCGGAAGGAGCCAGGUCUGGCCAACACGCUCCCGGCCUGCAGGUAGUCCCAGGAUGGGGUAGAAAUUCAGCUGGUCACACGUUCCUGGCGGCCAGCUGGGAGGUGGCCCUCGUCCCUGCGCACAGACACAGCUGAGCUUAACGUGACUGUGGAGAGAAGCCUGGCGUCUGGAAUAACACGGCUGCCACUGAGGCCGUGAACUCUGCAAAGGGACCGAGAAGUAUGAACCUGGACACGAGAUGUAGUGCAGCAGAGAGGGAUAAUAAGACCAGUCUUCCUCCCUGAGUUUGACCUUGGGAGCUGUGUGGAGGUUGACCUUGAUGGGUAGUGUCAUGGGAGACCUCCGGAGGCCACCUCCGCCAAGCAUGUGAUGAACACACACAGGACAUGAGUCACACCUGAAUGACUCCAGGAGUACGACAGAACAAGAUCAAGGGAGCUGGGCCCCCGCAAUCAUCGGAAAUCCCACUUGGAAGGUUCCCCAUCCACCAUUCAUUCAGACUGUGACAAGAAUGAAAAAGAAAACUUUCUUGUGUUAAACCGCCGAGAUUUGGGGAGUGUUUUGUUACGGCAGCCAGCAUUCACUCUGCCGAUUAUUCUAAGACAGCUGCGGGAGAGCAUCCAAGGGAGAAAGUGAUGGUCAUGCAGUAAGAAUAUGGGUGGCAGAAUCUUCCACUGAGAUUCUGUCUUGUUCUCACAACUACAGGACACUUCAAAGCAUGAGAAGGUGACUUUUAUCCUCCUGGAGAAAUGCCUCCUGUAUAAGCAAUUAUCUCUCCCUUUCUAGUAACAGUUGUUUUUUUUUAACGGUCUAAUCAUAUUUUCCCCACUUGCUAGUGAUGGGACCUCCAGCAAGUUACUUGACAACUCUGUGUUUCUGUUGCUUAAUCCAUAAAAUGGGCACGAAAAUAGCACUCACCUUAUGGAGUUUUUGUGAGAGUUGAAUGAAUUAAUCAUACGAUAUACAAUAAUGCCAAUCUGUGUGCCCUUUCUUGUUUUUUCUUUUUUUCUUUUUAAGGGGCUGUUCUCAAAGAACUCCC